AAAACAUCAGGGCCCUUUUUGCUUUAACUCCAUCACGUAUUUCAGUGACAAAGUUGAGUAAAUAGUAUGGCACUGUGGGAGAAAGGACUUUACAAUUUAUCAGUUCUUUCCUUUGCAUUCUGAGGCUUACAAUGCUUUCAGAAGAACAAUCUCUUCUUCCAGAAUGCCUUGGAAUUUAUACUGACUCUGCAAUAAAAAGGAACAUUAAGGGGCUUUGAUUGCUUUGGGUGGCAAGAUGCACUAGGCUUUCGGCAAUAGAGCGGAUUUAGGAAAGGAAAACACUAGAUAAGACAUAGGGAUGAGAAUUGGACUAGACCUUGGAGAGAGAUGCAAAUGGAGAAACUGAAAACCAGAGAGAUGAUUUAUCCAUCAGCACACAACACAUAAAGAGCAGAGCAAGGAUUUAAGCCCAGUUCUGGUGACUUCAAAUGCAGCAUUCUUUCUGCCAGGCCCUUUAAUUUCCUUUACAUUUUUAAAAGCAUUUUCAUUGUUUUUAUACUUUGUAAAAAGAGCCUACAUGCCCAUUUUUAGUCCCAUAACAACUUUGAAAAGCUUAAAACAUGAGGAUUAACAAGAUAGAUGGGACCUCAGAAAUCAAUGAGUCCAAAUGCCAGUUUCACAGAUGAGAAAACUGGGUCAUGGUGUGGGAAAAGUGACUCAUCCAAUGUCAUAAAGAUAGUCAGUGACAGAACACAGAUUUAAACCCAAGUCCUCUGAUCUCAAAUACAAUGUGUGCCUGAUUUCCCUUUACUAGGGGGCCUAGUUGAAAGCUGAAUCCAUAUUUUCAGCCUCACCUAAACUGAUAAACAGAGAUUAAUGCUUUAAACAAAAAUACAUUGUAGAACCAUACCUCCUGCCAUCUGCUAAUCUAAUUGGAUCUAUGCCCUACACCAAAUGGUGAGCAAAAAGGAAACUCCAAAUAUCCUCUGGCUCCUAAUCAAUGGAUCAAUAUGUUUAAAAACUGCAAAGAAGGAAUGAGUAGAGAUUCUUUCCACAGCUGGAAGUUCCAUCUUACCUGACCAAAAGAAAGGAUUUCACAGAGUAUGGUGAACUCUCUCUAAUAUUGCAGUAUUGUUCCCCGUGAAGACACACACGAGAAAUAGCAUGAGGCAAAAGAAGACUAGCAAAUAAGCAAUGACCUUCACUUAGCCAUCAGGCCUUGGAUAAUGUCAGCCCAAAGAAGCAGACCUCCGUGGCAGAAAGACCUACAUAGAAGCUUAUAAAUCAUUACUGGAGUCUUCUACCCCAGGAGGUAAAGUGAAAAAUUCUUAGGCUGCUAACUGAAAUGACCCAGCUCCACAAGGGGUAAUUUCCCAGAGGCCAGAAUGCUAACUAUAUUAUCAUUGCUUCAUAAGUGUUUGUACACUUUCCCUACUUGUUCGAGAAAAAUAAAAGGGGAGGUUUGAGCUUUUAAAAGCCUACUGAUUUCACAUCAUCUUGCUGCUUCUGCUAUCGCAGCGCCCAGGACAGCCACAUAGAAAUAUUGAGUACUCCAAGGGAUGUGCCAUCUCAUCGAUAAGGGCAUUUCCUA